rnacentral:sRNA from 1 species
GCGCCCGUGGCGCUAUGGAGGCGGCGCUUCUGGGGCUGUGUAACUGGAGCACGCUGGGUGUGUGCGCCGCGCUGAAGCUGCCGCAGAUCUCCGCUGUGCUAGCGGCGCGCAGCGCGCGGGGCCUCAGCCUUCCGAGUUUACUUCUGGAGCUGGCAGGAUUCCUGGUGUUUCUGCGGUACCAGUGUUACUAUGGGUAUCCGCCGCUGACCUACCUGGAGUACCCCAUCCUCAUCGCGCAAGGUAACAGCCCCUUCCCUGUCCGGCGGGCUGCCACGGGUCUCCCCUUCCUCCCUCACUCGGAGCCUCUCUCUUUCAGAUGUCAUCCUCCUGCUCUGUAUCUUUCAUUUUAACGGGAACGUGAAGCAGGCCACUCCUUACAUCGCUGUGUAUCCUUUCUGAAUCUGAGCCAGAAGGGGGAACGGGGGUGUUAUUUGCGAAUGAAUCUAUGUACUUUCAUCAGCGUGGCCAGUAAGUUUGCACAGCUCCAGUGUCUGUGGAAGACGAGAGACUCAGGAACUGUGAGUGCGCUGACUUGGAGCCUCUCU